CUCAUAUGUUGUGUUAACAUCUUCUAUCAUGGUGUACUAUGACAUAUAUAUAUGAAGUGAAGCGAUAAUGCAGACAACUCAAGAGUAGAGGCAUUUGCCACUUGGACUUGUGGAGUAGAGAUUACAGCGAUUUUAUGGUGUUAUUUGAAUAUCGAGUGUUCAUUUCUUGAUUGAAACGUCUCUGUAAAAGCUGAUUUUUGGAUUCGCUAAUUUAACCAGCAAAUACGUUUCCACAAACAACACAUGCCACCUCUAACCCUAUCUAAAAUAAUCUUACAGUUCUGCUGACAAGAAAAGGUAUUAAUCUGCUACUGUUUCUACAUUUGUUUGCCUUUGGUUAGGUUAAGAUAAGAAUCCCGAAUAAGUAUUAUGUUUGUAAAAAGAAUGGCACCAUGCUAUCACAAUCCAUAUUUGAUGUUCCUGGUAGAUGAAUUACAUUAGUCAUUAUGCCUACUAUCCUGAAGCUCCGAUUUUGAUGGCAGAUCUUAUAUUUUCUGAAUGUUCUUUUCAGUGACAGUAAAGAGGAUUGGUGUGAACUUUAACUGCGAAUGUUCUUUUCAGUGACAAUGCAACAAGAUUGGUGUUGGUCUUAGCCGUGCUGGGGAAGAACUCAUCUCCAUGGCUACGCUUAUAAGUGUAUUAGAUGUUCAUAAUAUAUGUUCAAACUUAUCUCAAAGAAUCGGAAGCCAGAGGUCAAGCUUAAGAUUUUGAGUGGAAUCCAUCAAGCUCAAGUUCUGGUACCAGUGGAUGCGCAUUGGGCUAAGCCUGUAUCAGCCGAGGGUGAUCAAGGCGCAGAUCACGAUGGGUCAAUGGGAACUCCAAGAUGAUACAGAUCUGCCUGAAGAACAAACAUACUGCUCAUCUGGGAGGUGCAAUAAUAAUUGGACAAAGUUCAAUCUUCUACGCGAGGCAAUGAUAUGCUCUCACUACUCAGGGAUGGAUACUCGAGAAGUUUAGAUGCUUAUAGAUUAUGUGGUAUGCAGCCCCGCUAACCUCAUUUUAUGUUUUAGUAAUAUCUUUCACCGUCAUUAUGGACUUUCGUAGUCAAAUACCGUUUUAAUGAUAAAGUUUUGGAAAAUAGUUCUGGUAAUCAGAUUGUAGACCCAGUUGAAUGAGUAUUCAUUGUCCUGUUUUACAAUAAUGUAAUGUGUCAAUAAUUUAGA